rnacentral:sRNA from 1 species
UAGAGGAAGUAAAAGUCGUAACAAGGUUUCCGUAGGUGAACCUGCGGAAGGAUCAUUAUUGAAUAAACCUGGCGUGAUUGUUGCUGGUCCUCUCGGGGGCAUGUGCACAUCCGUCAUCUUUAUCUUUCCACCUGUGCACAUUUUGUAGAUCUGAAAUUUUUUUUCGAGGCAACUCGUUUAUGAGGGACUGCUGUGCRUCACUGCCAGCUUCCCUUGGAUUUUCAGGUCUAUGUUUUCACAUACACCAUAAGAAUGUAAUAGAAUGUUAUAUUGGGCCUUGUGCCUAUAAACUAUAUACAACUUUCAGCAACGGAUCUCUUGGCUCUCGCAUCGAUGAAGAACGCAGCGAAAUGCGAUAAGUAAUGUGAAUUGCAGAAUUCAGUGAAUCAUCGAAUCUUUGAACGCACCUUGCGCUCCUUGGUAUUCCGAGGAGCAUGCCUGUUUGAGUGUCAUUAAAUUCUCAACCUUAUYAGCUUUUGUUGAUAAUGGCUUGGAUGUGGGGGUUACUUUGCUGGUUUCUUUAAUGAGAUCAGCUCCCCUUAAAUGUAUUAGCUGGUUGCCUUGUGCAGACUUGUCUAUUGGUGUGAUAAUUAUCUACGCCGUGGACUUCUGCCAGUAUUUAGCACCGCUUCUAACUGUCUGUUUACUCAGACAAUUAUAUGACAAUUUGACCUCAAAUCAGGUAGGACUACCCGCUGAACUUAAGCAUAUCAAUAAGCGGAGGAAAAGAAACUAACAAGGAUUCCCCUAGUAACUGCGAGUGAAGCGGGAAAAGCUCAAAUUUAAAAUCUGGCAGCCUUUGGUUGUCCGAGUUGUAAUCUAGAGAAGUGUUAUCCGCGCUGGACCGUGUACAAGUCUCCUGGAAUGGAGCGUCAUAGAGGGUGAGAAUCCCGUCUUUGACACGGACUGCCAGGGCUUUGUGAUGCGCUCUCAAAGAGUCGAGUUGUUUGGGAAUGCAGCUCAAAAUGGGUGGUAAAUUCCAUCUAAAGCUAAAUAUUGGCGAGAGACCGAUAGCGAACAAGUACCGUGAGGGAAAGAUGAAAAGAACUUUGGAAAGAGAGUUAAACAGUACGUGAAAUUGCUGAAAGGGAAACGCUUGAAGUCAGUCGCGUUGUUUGGGAAUCAACCUUGCUUUUGCUGGGCGUACUUUCCAGAUGACGGGCCAGCAUCAAUUUUGACCGUUGGAUAAAGGCUGGAGGAAUGUGGCAUCUUCGGAUGUGUUAUAACCUCUGGUCGCAUACAACGGUUGGGAUUGAGGAACUCAGCACGCCGCAAGGCCGGGUACUUGUACCACGUUCGUGCUUAGGAUGCUGGCAUAAUGGCUUUAAUCGACCCGUCUUGAAACACGGACCAAGGAGUCUAACAUGCCUGCGAGUAUUUGGGUGGAAAACCCGAGUGCGUAAUGAAAGUGAAAGUUGAGAUCCCUGUCGCGGGGAGCAUCGACGCCCGGACCAGACCUUUUGUGACGGAUCUGCGGUAAAGCAUGUAUGUUGGGACCCGAAAGAUGGUGAACUAUGCCUGAAUAGGGUGAAGCCAGAGGAAACUCUGGUGGAGGCUCGUAGCGAUUCUGACGUGCAAAUCGAUCGUCAAAUUUGGGUAUAGGGGCGAAAGACUAAUCGAACCAUCUAGUAGCUGGUUCCUGCCGAAGUUUCCCUCAGGAUAGCAGAAACUCAUAUCAGAUUUAUGUGGUAAAGCGAAUGAUUAGAGGCCUUGGGGUUGAAACAACCUUAACCUAUUCUCAAACUUUAAAUAUGUAAGAACAAGCCGUCUCUUGAUUGGA